GGGUGUGAUCAUACAGGUAUUUUUGUAUUGAAUCCCAUUAGACUCUGUAGUUGAGUGCGCUUGGGCUAGAGUAGUACUGGGAUGGGUGACCUCCCGGGAAGUCCUAGUGUUGCACCCUC
rnacentral:rRNA from 1 species